GUGUUAUUUUUUUAGGGAGUAUUUCCCAAUAACCGUGAUUUUUUGUGAUGGCUCAAAAAAGAAUCAUACUUAUAUUAAGGGAUAUUAAACUUUAAUCAUUUUUGACACAGAUAUCAUAGGGAGAAAGAGAAAGAGAACGGGAAAGGGGGUCUGAAGGAGGAAGGAGAGAAAACAAACAUUCACUCUAGGGAGACAAGGAAACACAAGUACUUUUGCUUUGUUUCAACUGCCUAGAUAUAGAAUUAAAUAGAGAACGAUAGAGAGAAGAGAGUGAAAAAGGAAGAACAAUUUCAAUUUGGAAGAUGGAAGAAGGGUCGAGAGAGAUUAGAGUCCACUUUAAGAAAUUCAUCAUCACCAAGUAUAGAUGUAGUGAACAAAGACCGCUGCUUGAGGAGUUUAAGGAUUGUUGUUGUAAAGAUGACCGUCAAUCCGUCUUUCCUCAUUGGCGGUGACGCCGGGGAGGCAAAGUGAUUUAGUAGAUGAAGACGCAAGUAAAACAGUGGGGCACAUUCGGAGGCUUGAUAUAUUCCGACACUGGUAUUAGCCUUGUUGAGAAAACUUUUCACAAGCAUCUAGAACUUUGACCAGCUAGGUGUAGUCUUAGAUAGAAAAAAAGAGACAAGAGCCAAGAGUCUUAGGUAGAAAUAUGGUCACACAUAUUUCACAUAUGGAUUUCUUCAUAUUCAACUCUGGUAAGCCAUGCACUAAAUCUUUAGAGUUCAAUUCA